GGUCCCUCUGGUUGUGCUGUGUGGGACGCCACCUCAGCGUGGCUUGAUGAGCGGUGCCAUGUCCACACCCAGGAUCCGAACUGGUGAAACACUGGGCCGUGGAGGCGGAGCACGUGAACUCACCCACUAGGCCACGGGCCUGCCCCUGGGAUUUUCGUUUAAAAUCAACAAAUAAAUCUUAAAGAGGGGCCGGCCUGGCCGAGUGGUUAAGUUUGCGUGCUCCGCUUCGGUGGCUCAGGGUUUCACCCAUUAGGAUCCUGGGCGCGCCAGGUCGGAUCCUUUUGAAGCGGUGGCAUCUGCAGCCCUUUGUUAAAGGCUCUACUUCCCAUCAGGCAGGGCAGCCUCUGUCUGCCUUCCACGGGUGCCGACAGGAAGCCUAGGCCUGUGGUUUUCCAGGAAGAAGGCAUAGGAGCUGAGCCCAAACUUUGCCUUCCUUAAAACUGCAAAGCUGGUGGUAGAAAUGUACAUGAGCCGCUGGGGUGGGAAGGCAUGUGAAUGUUUGCAAUGUAAGUGUUUAAUGAGAGAAGACGCAGGAAAACGGGGGGACGCCUUACCUUUGGUUGAGUGGGAAAGAAAUGAGAGAAAGGGGCCCAUUUACUGGGGGGAGAGGUCAAAGGUGUCUGCUUCCGGGUUGCCAAUGGGCCUGUUAGGUUUGUUGAUGACGAUAAACCUGAUAGAACUGGGUUUUUUCUUUCUUUCUUUUUUUUUUUUAAAAAAAAGCUUUGGUUAAGAGAGCCAUAACCUAGAGGGCUCUUUUAUUUUUCUUAAAUGGGGAAAUUACUUCGACCUAGAAGAGCUUUUUUUUAAAAACUUCACUCUAUAUUUAUUAUCAUUAGUAUUGAUAUAAUUUUGAAACUUUUAUGCAUAUAGAAUAAAGCAUGAAUUACUCCCUUGGGGAGGAGAUUGUUACAAAUGAAGAUUCCUAGGCCAGACUGGUUACAGAUGGGCCUCAGAGCAAACGUGUGGAAUGAUGGAUAUAAGGCUGAAUUUCUUAACUGUCGAAAAAGUAAGAAAGAACUUGAAAUUAGUAUGAGAAAUAAAACAGAUGACGGAAACUUUUUCGUGAAACAGUGCAACUACAAUAUGCGAAAAAGUAGACAGGUAAAGCACACACACUUGGGAAGUGGAAACAUCUCGAAGUACCGUAGAUGUGAGAAAUAGAAAGAUGACACUGCAGAGCCAUAGUCAGCUGAGCAUGGACGUUGAGAUACUUGUCCGGUAAUUAUCAGGGCCUUGAAGUAUAUGAAGUCCAUUUUUGCACCCCCACCCUCUUCUCUCCCUCUCAGUUUUCCACCCUGCAUUUUCACAGUCUGGGCGGCCCAGGAAAUGCCCUGUUGUCUCGGCUUUCCCUUGGCUCCACAAUUCACAUUUGCCUGCUAUCCCCACUUGAUCAGAUACACCAGCCGCUGGGAGAGGCUCAGGGGGUUUCUCUCCCGGGCAACUUCUUUUUCACAGUGAGUGCCCUGACAUCCAGAUGUCUCAACCGAAAGGACUGAGUUCAUAGUGAGAACCUCAGGUAUUCCACAGAGCCCAGAGGAGGAGGUAGCCAGGGGCAGGUGGAUGGUCUGUUCAGAUGUGCUCGUAGCAGCAGCCGAAGUGAGGAGAGUGUAAUUCACAAGAACGUCACUUCCCGUUUUUGGAGCUCAUCAGUGGGCAGGCACUGUGCAUUUUACUCAUUGUCUGAUUUAAUACACAGAACGAGCCUUUCGGCUAAGUUUUACGGAUAAACUGAGGAGGACAGUAUGUAAAUUAACGGGCACAGCUAUGUUCCAAUAAAACUUUACAAAACUGGCAAAGAGCUGGACAUUGUGGCCCCUCUAGGUCCACCCACAGAGGCUCUGGCUUAUCCAGCAGCUGCCUUGAAGGGCUGGACAGCUAAGCCCUAAAUGCAGGGAGGUUAACACCUAGUGGGACAGGCAAAAAGGCCAAUGAGAGAGCAGAAGCAGGAAGGUGCUGGCAGAUAAAUUGCUCAUACUUCCCUCCUCCCCCAAUGGAUGUUUCCGACAAGUGGUUUCAUACAGCCCUGAGCAACCAGCUGUGUUUCUUGGAAAUCUGUGGCCAGUUCAUAAAGGAUUUCAGCUGCUCCAGCCACAGGCCUCCUUUGGGUCCACCUGAUGAUCAGCAGCACCUUGGCCUUUCAAUUCAUUUCAUUCAACAGAAAUUUAUUGAGCACCAUGUGCAAAUUGAUUGAGCAAAGAUAAAAAGACAGUGUCCAAUAAAUAUGGGAGUGCUACCAGGCCUUAAUAAAGAAGAAUGCAGAAAGGACAAAGGCAUUGCCAGCACCAAAUAAACUAGUCAUAGAUAUAAGUGGAGGACGUGGAAAGAGAUAGAGAUCUCAUUGGACAGCAGAUUCUGAUUCCGGAUGUCUGGGGCGAGGUGCAAGACUGUGUUUCUAGCAAGCUCCCAGUGAUGUGGAUGCUGCUGGUCAAUGGCUCGUACUUUGAGCAGCAAGGCCCUAGAGCUUGUGUCUCAACCUGAAAAAGAAAGGGAACAUCCAGGCCGUAUUUAAAUUUGGGGAGGGCUUAGUUCAAAACAGAUGCAGAAAAACUGAUCAACAUCCAACUAAGCCAAAGAGCAUUGUAAGGCCCCAGGGAGUGAGGACUGUUUGGGACCAGCUUCGGACAGAAGUCAGGAUGCUGGGAGGAAAAGGAAGCAAAUGGAAGAGGAAGAAGAUAGAUAAGGACUGGGAGGGAUAAACGAAAGCGAUUUCGUGUUGAGAAAGAGAGAAUGUCCUUUCAGGUUGAAACUUAAAGAACAUUCCCCCAGUCUAGAUCAAAGCAGAGGCCGGGGCUCUGAUACACUCUGACAGAAGCGCUUUUUGCACAGAUGAGCAGCUCAGUGCCUUCAAAUGGACCAAUCUAAUUGCAAACGAAUCCCACCUCAUUGACACCAUUUUAAAUGCUUUCUCUCUGAAACCAACUAGCCAGUCAUUAAAUAAAUAAAGCUCAAAUGGAAAGCAAAACAGGGUUCACUUGACAGAGAUUCGAAUUUCAAUUCACAGCUAAAUUUGCUGGAACACAGCUAUUCUGUGAAGAAAGAACAAGUGUUAACAGUCUCAUGAAGUAAACGUAUCAAAAGUAACAGUAUAGUAAGCUGCAAUUGACAUUAGUGAUGGAAUAAACACCAAGGAAAAAGAAAAGGAAACAAAAAUACAUUAAAAGCUGCCUGUGGUAUCAGUAGUUAAUGCUAUUAUUCUUAAAUAAAUGUUUAAUGACUAAGAGAACAGAGCCACAAAUAAAUGGGCAAGCAUGAACAAUUAAGGAUAGUUCAAUGGUGAGUUAAAUCAAGGAAAGUGUUUUACAUGUAAAUCCACAUUUUGUGCUUUUUCUGAUGUGCAUGAAAGCAUAAGUAAUUCUACAUUCCUUCAUGGUUAGAAACAAUUAUUCUUACAUUUACAUAUCUAAAGACAUUUCUCUAGCAUUCUUAUAAUGAGGAAUGGCAGCAUUUCAGUUCAAUUCACCUUAUCCUAUAAACUGACAUUUGGAUCUUUCAGCUCAAAAAGAGAAAAAGUUUUUGUUUUUAAUGAAAAUUUCCAACACUCAAAAAGCAAUGUAAUGAUUUUGAGACCCAGAUGCUCAGCUGUGUAUUUGAGGUCAAUUGACAAACACUUAAGGCCGAUUCAAGGCAAAUUCUUUUCUAUAAAUCUGCUCUCU
ensembl:lncRNA